rnacentral:lncRNA from 1 species
UUCUCAACCAACAUCUCUUUAUCCAUCUCAUACUUUAAUUUAAGAUCUAAAAAAAAAUUUCAGGUCAAAUACUUUUUUUUUGAGAAAUAGGUAGCCAGCUAUAUCUGCUUCAUUCAUUAGAAAGAUGAACUAAGCUUAUAAAAUGGAAGCAGCCAGGACUUCCGGGAAAGAAAAGGGAAAGAGAGAGAGACAUAAAAGUAAAUGUUG